rnacentral:lncRNA from 1 species
UGUAAACACGUGCUAUCGCAAUGAACUACUGCCUUAUUGUAAGUACGUUUUUUUACCUGACGUUCUACUAUAAAAGCAAGUUUGUUUGUCAAAAGAUAUGUGACUGCUCCUUCUGAUUCUUGACAAAGUGAACUGUAAGUUUGUCUAUUUUUGAUGAUUUCAUAACUUUAGUAACUUUCAUCUUUAUUGUUUAGUGGAUCUUUAGCAUGAUCAACUUAGAUGGUCAAGAUAAGGCAAGAGGUCUCGAGCUCUUCGAUACUAAUAUUCGUUGUCCUCUUCCAAUUUCUUUUAAAAAAUCUUUUUUUGGCUUAUAAUUUUGGACGCCAAAAGCGCGGUUUUUUUUCUGCUAAAGACUCAUUAGUGACGCUCGAUCUAACAACAUUUAAAGGGCCAAAUAAUGAACAAAGUCGAAAAGCAUUGACGUUCAAUAAUUCAAAAGAUACUGCAUGGAUGUGUAGUAUCAAAUAUUUAUGUUUAUUACUUGCAUUUGGACAUUUAAAAAAAUGAUUAAUUUCAUUCAUCUAUUUCGUCCGCAUGGAACAAUGCAAAAGCUAAAAAAAAGGGGGGAUGACUUUGUGUGCAUGGAAUUAUUUUAUACCCCAUGAAUAGAUUACAUUAGGCUUUCGGAAUUUUUACCCUUAGUUCUCUCAAACUUCUUAUAUUAUUUAUAUUGUCAAACUCAGACGAUUUGAUUUAUUUAUUUAUUCAUUUGUUUUAUUUAAUCAUGUUCAAAAUCGAAUAGGAAGAAAUAAAUCGAGGUAAAAUGCGACAAUUUGGGUAAUCACGAGAACACCAAAAUGUGCACGAUCGGGUGCGUCGACAGGUAAGUGUAUCCUAUUAUUGAUGCAUCACCCGCCAUUUUAAUUCUCACUUAGUGAAAAUUUUAGAAAAAGUUAUUCGUGUGCAUGAAAUUUUUAAAUAUCUUCAUUUCAAUGUUCGCAUUGUCAUUGUACAACUUUUGCAUGAGUAAAAAUUUGUGUACUAAAUUGGUAAUCAUCGUCAUACAAAUUGUAAAAUGUUUAUACAAUAUCAUAUAUGUAAAUGACUCAAAAGAGUUUUUGUAAGAGACGAUAUUGUCGCAGGACUAUAAUUUUAUUCAUUUUCUUUAUUUUAGAAAGCAUUUCAGUAAACAAGCAUUAUGAAGGUUUCUGUUUGUAUUGUUCUAUGUCUGUUGUUGGCUUUUGCGGGAAGUAAGUAUUAUUAAACACAACAUAAAGUCUAGCGGUGAAGGAAGUCUACACUGAGCGAAAAAAAACCCACAAUAAAUUUAUAUAAAUUGUACUCCUUAUCCAUUUGAUAAGUCUCAGUAUCUUAUCGAUCAAUUUCUCUUCAGGUCUUGUAUCAAGAAAGAGAGGUGGAAUAUGUCAAACGGAUACUGAAAUUCACAUGUUGUUAAAAAAUAAGCUGACAACAUCCUUGUGAAAAACAAAAACGAUCAAAAGACGAACAACAGUAUACGAACAACAACGUAGAAAAAUGAAGGACAUUGUAGUCUCUGACUGCCUUUAAGUACACUGGAACAUCAUUAUCAUUAAGCUGUGACGCAUAAAUAUUAAUGCUUUCUUUCAUUUAUAUAUUCAAAAUGUAAUGAACGGUUCGGCUCAAGCUUACGUCAUACAAGUCUUUAUAUGGGGUUUAGUUCAAAUAUUAACAUAAUUAUGCAAGUCUUUGUAAUUAGUCGCAUUAACGUUGAUUUCGAUAUGUAAUUUGAUAUUCAUCUUACAUUAAGCUAGCACAGCCAAAGCAGAAACAUUUGGAAAACGUCUUCUAAGGUAUAUAUCUAAUAAUGAAUAUAAAUAGAUUAUAACAAACACUUAAUUAACUGAUAGACUUAAGGGAGUAGUAUAUUUCCUAUUGUAUUAUAAUUAUAGAUUUUAUUAUACUUAUAUAUAAAAUGAAAAUAACACUUUCUCAAUAUCGUGCAUCUAGAGCGCUAUUAGGAUUUGCUUUCAUCAGGAACGCUCAAUCACGAAUAUACAACUGUAAACAGCCUAAUGAUGUUUAAGACCUAGGUAGAUAAAGAGUUUUAUCCUGCAAUUGGGUGUCUUACUAUACAGAUACAGCCCUACAGAUAUCGCUAUGCUGUAACUGUAUACUAUACAGAUAUCGCUUUAAAGCUCCGCUCACGGUUGGACUACGUUUUUGUAUUGCUGUUGACGAGUGUUGUAUGAACCUGCGUUACCUCAAAAUGUAUAUUGCAGUCGCAUUCAAAUGACGUAUUGUUGGAAAUUAUGCGAAUUAACGAUUACUUUUAUACGUUCUGUUUGUUUUCAACAUUUCUUUUGAGCAAUAAGAAUUAAAGUAAUUUUCUGAUAACAGACAUGAACAGCAGUAUUUUCUACGACGAAAAUCAUUUAUUUCAAAACUUGAAUGUGUACAUGUGUAACAAAAUCAACCAUGUCAAUUUCGGCAUGCAUGUUAAGUGAAUGUCAUGUUCAGUAGAUAUUAUUAUGAAGCGUAGGACAACUCGUCCACUUCUUUUUUUAACUUGGACAAUGUUUUGUUAUUUGUUUUUUUUUCUGUCUCCAGCUGAAUUUGUGAUUUUAUUGUUAAUACGCGGGCCUCAAGGGAUUUUAAAUCGAACAUAAAUGCAAACAGGUGAGUCUUUGUGUCUUUCAAAGCACAAACAAUAUACAUAAUUAAUUGCAGGAUAAAUACAAUAACUGUUUAGUGUCUUUAAAUAUCAGCUGUAUUUGAACUCGGCUCGAAACAAAAGUAAUAGCUUGUUAAAGCUCGCAUUACACCUGUUUCUUAGCCUCGUACAAAUACAGCUGAUAUUCAAAGACAAUAAACAUGUAUUGUCUAUAUAUUGGCGCUCUAUCAGAAUAGAUUAGAUUUUUUUAUUGUAUUGCAUGACCUUGUUCCAAUAUUAUACCCAACAGAAUAUAAAAAAUAGUAUACUUUUUUUUUUAUGAAACUACAUGUAAAUUUUUUAACAGUACUCUGCAGAAUUGAAUUUGGCAACACAUAAGUCUGAUGUCCUAUCUAAUAUAGAAUAAUAUUGACAUCUUGCUCAUCAGCAAAAAUACAGGCAAAACAAUUUAUAUGUUUACAACCAAAUUGAUUAUGAUAAUGCACAUAUACAAUGUAAAACAACUUUACAAGUAUUGAUAAAGUUUUUGUCCAAGCGGGAUAAUUACUGAAAUGCCUAAUACGAGCAAUGUUAAUUCAAAUUCGGCUUUCUUGCAACAAGUAAACAUCUAUUUAGUUGGGAUGGAAAUAUGUGAAAUGGUUAGAUAUAAACUGUAUGUACAUUAUAAAAACCCUUUGAUAUCAAAAUUUCUUUUAGAUUUUUUGGUGAUGUUUCAAAAACAAAAUCUGUAUUAUUUUCUUAUUAUGUUUUCGAGAAAAAAUCACCAAGAAAAUUAUCAGUAAUCGACAGAUCCCUUUGACACAAUAAACAUUCAAUGUGAUUUUUUUCUUUUAAAAGUAUUAUCUCUAUGUUGUAGCCGUAUGAGACGAGCCGGUUACUGUAGUGCAGUAGGAGUGAGUUGCGAUUCUGACUUGGCUUGUUGUUCUAAAAAGUGUGCGUACGGAAAGUGCUUUUAAUGGAUGGUUUAGCAGCUUUGGAGAAAACGGAGUUAACAGUCAUCAUCUGGAUUUAUUAUGUAGUGGAUUAAAUAAAAAUUGCCAUCAAAAUUUCAAUUAAACAAGAUAUUAAUUGAAGUAUAUGUCACAUCAUUUCUUUAGAUGUUUUCAUUAAGUUCAUAAAAACUCCUCCACCACAGAGGCAAAACUACAUAGAUAUAUAUUCUAGCUCAGAAAUAUAUUACCUUAGCUGUAUUUGGCAAAACGCCAGGAAUAUUUGUCCUCAAAACUCUUCAACUUCGUACUUUAUUUAGCCUUUUUAACUUUUGUUUUAGCGUCACUGAUGAGUCUUUUGUAGACGAGACGCGCGUCUGUCGCAAAUAUAAAAUUUCAAUCCUGGUAUCUAUGAUGAGUUUAUUUGUACCGCCUAUUGUUUUUUUUUUUUCAAUUGGAGAUACAAUUUGUAUUUGCAAAAUGUUAAUAAUAUACUUUUUUUUAUCUUAUUAAUUUUCUAACGUAUAACUUCACAGAAGUUAUUAAGCUCAAUUUUUAAAUUCGACAAGUGCAUCUUCUUCUUAUUUUUUCUACAUGGGGAUGAAUCUUAUUCACUUAGUUUUUUAAUAACCUUAUCGAUUUCGGUCUUCUCUAUAGAAGUCAACAGUAGCAUACCGCUGUUCAAUAGCAAUACAUCGAUUAAGCGAAAACAAAUCCGGGUCACAAACCAAAACCGAUGGAAACACAUCAACCACAAGUUGAAAGAAACGGAACACUGAAAUGCUAAAAAAACGAACAAACAUACAUAUUCAAUAUAUACGAAAUAAUUCAAUAUAAUCCACUAAUUGUGUACUUUAAGACCUCCUUCCAGCAUGGUAGCUAGUGAUUUCAUACUGACUCGGUCAAAUACAAGAUCUGUUUUACAAAUUUAAGUUUAGUUACUUAGGAAAUAUAAUGGCACUGAAUUUACUUUUGAUUGUAAAUGGAUAAGAUUAUAUAAUCUAGACGUUCAGUACAGGCUUGUUAGUCGUCAUUUUUCUAUGACGACAUACAUUGUAAUAUCUUGAAAUUUGGCUUAAAUAGGUAAUUUUUUCACAU